UACGUAGGGUGCGAGCGUUGUCCGGAAUUACUGGGCGUAAAGAGCUCGUAGGUGGUUUGUCGCGUUGUUCGUGAAAACCGGGGACUUAACCCUCGGCGUGCGGGCGAUACGGGCAGACUUGAGUACUGCAGGGGAGACUGGAAUUCCUGGUGGAGCGGUGAAAUGCGCAGAUAUCAGGAGGAACACCCGUAGCGAAGGCGGCACUCUGGGCCGAUACUGACACUGAGGAGCGAAAGUGUGGGGAGCGAACAGG
rnacentral:rRNA from 1 species